AUUGACCGCUGGCGGCAGGCCUAACACAUGCAAGUCGAACGAGUGGCGGACGGGUGAGUACUGUCUGGGAAACUGCCUGAUGGCGGGGGAUAACUCCUGGAAACGGUAGCUAAUACCGCAUAACAUAGGCUGUGACACGCGGGGAUUAGCUAGUAGGUGGGGUAAAGGCUCACCUAAGCGAAGAUCCCUAGCUGGUAUGAGUGGUGGACCAGCCAAACUGGAACUUAUGCACGGUCCAGACUCCGACGGGAGGCAGCAGUGGGUAAUAUGGCACAAUGGGCGCAAGCCUGAUGCAGCCAUGCCGCGUGUAUGAAGAAGUCCUUCGGGUUGUAAAGUACUUUCAGCGGGGAGGCGUUACCCGCAGAAGAAGCACCGGCUAACUCCGUGCCAGCAGCCGCGGUAAUUC
rnacentral:rRNA from 1 species